rnacentral:lncRNA from 1 species
AGGUCAUUGCAAAUGCGUUUCUUUUCUAGGGCAGGAAAUGGAAGCUCUUGGGAAGGCGGAAGUUGCACGUGCUCUCACAGUCAACUGUGCUGGAAUAGGAGGCCAGGAACCACCUCUGUUGGAGGAGGAGGACCCAUCAGGCAUCCCUUCAAGAAUGCCAAGGUCCACAGCAAACGCUUCCCUUCUAUGGGCACAGGAGGGCUGUGGGAGCCCAGAAAAUGUGCUUCUGGCCAGAGUGGGAUCCCCAAGGAAGAUGUUAAGACAUCUAUAAUAUUUGAGAGCAAAAUUAACACAGCUCCAGCCCAUGGGCAAGUUAGAGACAGGAGUAGUGUCUGUGGAAUGGAGGAAAGCAGAGGCUGCCGCUGACCAUCCUGCAGCCCUUGCUCUGACUGCUCCCAGUUCUCCACCUUCUCUGGACUUUGUCACUUCAGUGUGAGUAGUUAACUUUUAAGGAGCUGGAGGACUGAUCUCAGUAAGCCAGUGACCACCGCCUGCAUGUUCAAGAAAAUAAUCAAAGUGAGUCUUUGAUAACCUUCAUCUAUCUGUUUUUCUUGCAGAUAACAACUCA